GUAAAAAAUCCGCUCUUUGUUGCUGUCAUGGCCGCCUCCAAGACGGCUAUAAGAGUGAGAUUUGUACACCCGAGAAUCCUGGCAUUUAAUUCCUGAAGCCUCUGUUUGGUGCUGUGCCUUUCACUGUUUGCCUUCCGGUUCUGUAACUGCUGCAGAAUGUCUUCUGUGUUACACAGUAGCGGUGGUAGUUGUUUCAGAAGAGAAAAUUUGAGUCCGGCUAUCUAGCUCAAACUGUCCUCGAACUUUGGAUUGCUGGUGGCCACGGCAGAGGAGCAGCAGGUGUCUUUGAAGUUCAAGGCGUCAGCUCACCAGGAGGCAACUCCCUGGUGGGUGAAUGUUGGAUAGCAAGUCCCUGAGACCACAGACCCCAGAAUGUCUUUCACUUCUACUGUAUCUUUACAUGUUUGCUACUGCUAUCUUUCUCUGGUAUCUGCUAUGAUGUGAAUGGGUGUGGGGAGAUUCCCACUGCCUGUAAUAUAGUGUGCUUAUCUCAUGGAAAAAUUCCAUUCUGCUGGGCAUUCUUGCCUGUGGAUUAUUAUGAAGAUGAUUCUUUCCUCAGCGGUACUGUCUGAUUUAUAAUAAUAAGUUUUAAGUUAAGAGGGUUGAUGGUUCAAGAAAUAAACAAGGAAGUGUCACACACUAGAACACAUGAGUUUAGGUUAACGAUUAAGAAAAACAACUGCCAGCUAGCUUACAUUCUUUUAACCUUGAUGUUGGGAGAUGUGUUCACAGGUUUUGGAGUGCUGAAACAAAGAUUCGAAAAUAACUUAAGAUUAUACUAGAUGUUCUUGUCAAAUAACUUCAAGGUGAAAAACUCAAGAAGAUAAUCUAAAGUUUUAGAAAGACACAAGAGUUGAGUGCAGAAUGCGUUAAGAUCAGGAAGCAAGAACAAAGCAGCCAAUUAUCGUUAUUUGACAAGCUUUUCUUGCUAGGAUUGGUUGAAGACCAGAAAUGAUGUUUAAUUUUUUGUACCCAUUUUUGCUCUUAAUCUCCUGAUAUAAAAAAACUAAUGAUGCGUGGGUAUGCACCCUAAAGAUUUAAAGUAGAGCUGACUGAUUCUUUUUAUAUAUAAAAGUUUAGGUUUGUGAUUCCUUUAAGAUUCUUUAUAAUACUACCUUUAAAGGAAAGCAAUAAAGGAAUAGAUCCUUUCUUUGUAACUACAAAAUGCAGCCUGCCAGUAAAAGACCUGACUGAGAAGAAUACCUUGUUGCCCACAAAGUUAACUUAUAACUGUGAAUGGGUGUGCUUGGGUAUCAAUGUACAUGGGCUCUUGGGAUAAUUUUUUUUUCACCUGUAAUACAUAAAAUGUUUAAUGAUGUAAGGGAUAUGGAAAACAUGUUUUUUUUUUACUGUUUGUUUUGUAUUCAUUGUAAUCAUUUACAGAAUGUAACCACAUUGGAAUUCCUAUAUUGCCUGAAAAACUUUGUUGGGGUAUAUAAGCUGUAGAAAAAAGUAUACAAUAGAAAGAACACAGAAGAAUAAGGAAUAAAGAAGGAAACCAAGAAAGAAUGUGAGGGUCUCUUUCCCUAACCCCCUCAGAUAAAAAAGUCUUUGUAUGUGCUGACUCCGUGGAUUGCUUUUGAGGCCUGUGCUCCUGGGAGCUGGCAGCCCAGGUGCAACACUGUUGCAACCUCCCAAUGCUGGGCAAACAUUACCGUGCUCUUUUAUAACUACUUUGUAUUUUGUGUAGUCUUUUUGUAUACAUCAAAUAUAUUUACCAAGAAAAUAAAGAUAGAGAAAAAAGCAAUCGAAAUCAAAUUAACACGAUUCUUUGGGAGAGGAAAAUCCAUGAAUGAUAUUAGUAAAUGCUGAGUCCAUUACAAACAUAAGCAUACAGAUAAAGAAAAUGCAUGAAGGCAUUCCUCUGUAUUCUUUCCUUUGUGUUUGCUUGUGGAACUGUCCUAAUAUUUGCAGGUUUCUGUCUUGUAGCAAGACAUUGAUAAAACAUCCCAAUUAGCUUUCCCUUUACCUAGUUGGAGCUGGCUUAACUAUGGCUCUGAUUGUUUUUUAAAGGCGAAAGUAUCCUGGCUAAGAUAGCUGGAGUGAUUACUCGGUCAGGGGAUACAAUGAACUAAAGCAGUUACUGGGGCAAGGCUAAUGUGUUAGCCACCAACCCCUGAAGGUACUAAAUGGCUUGGCACACUUUCCUGGUGUUUAUAAGUCUGUGUGAGCCUUUGAAUUGAAAUGUAGGGGAGCACUGAAGCUGUACUUUUACUUAUUGAUUGCUCUCAUUCCUGGUGGGUGUGCAUGUGUGUCCCGUGGCAUGUUUGUGUAGGUCAGAGGGCUGCCUGAGGGAGUUGGUUCUCUCUGCCAUGUGGGCCUCAGGGAUCUAAGUCAGGUCAUCAGGCCUGGUGCCAAGCACAUUUCUCCUCUGAGCCAUCUCACUAAACUUAAAGCUGUAUACUUAAAUCUGUAUCAAACUGGCCAAUCUUAGUUUCUAUUUUUUUAAAGGAAAUUUUUAUUUAUUUUAUUUUUAUUUCAUGUGCAUUGGUGUUUUGCUUGCAUGUAUGUCUGAGGAUGUCAGAUCCCUUUGAACUAGAGUUACACACAGUUGUGAGGUGCCUUAUGGAUGCUAGGAACUGAACCUGGGUCCUCUGCAAGAAAAGUCAGUGCUCUUAACCACGAGGUCACCUCCCCAGGCCCCAUCUCAGUUUUAUUUGAAAACUGUGUUUGUGCAAGUGACCAUGAGUGUGAGCUCAAGUGCUGUGUGUGUAGAAAUGCAGUUUUUAAGUGCAGAACGACUUGUUGGCAGGGCGACCUGGUUGUGACUCCAUCACCCGCUGAGUGCCAGGGUAGAUUCGCUUGAUCUAGCUGGCCAGGCUAAUGUCCUUUUCUCCUUCUUUGCUUUUGGAAGAAGCUGAGUUUCCCUGAUAAAGGAGGUCAAAGGUAUAUGAACAGCUGCCCAUCCUGGCUGGUUUUUCAAACAAGCUCUCACGAUGGCCUGUUUCUAGAGCUAGGACCAUGGCACUUAGGGGUUCUUGCAGUAGAAGGUCUACUGAAAAGCUGGUUUCUUUGGAAGAAGAAUGAGGCUAUUGUGUUUGGAUGCAGUUAUGCACAGGAAAACACUUAACAUGAAAACCCAAUAUUCUUUUAUUAUGGUAAUGUUAUCACUUAAGGAAAUCAAAUAGUAACUUCUAAUUAGUUUUUAAUGCUAAAGAUUCUAUUUAUUUUAAAUUAGUUUGUUAUUCAUAGAACAUUUUUUUCUACCCAAGAUUUGACAGCUGGAUGUAGAAUGGAAUCAAAGCUCAAUGUGUCCAGCUGGGGUUGUAGCUCAGCUGACAGAACACUUGCCUAGGAAGUACAAAGUGUGCUUCCCUGCAUGGAGGAAAUGGCUCUGUUGUACACACCUACAAUUCAAGCACUCGGAACCAGAGGGAGGAGGGAACCAGAAGCUCAAGUGCAGGGAGUUUGGGGGCCAACCUGGGCUACAUGAGAGCAUGCCAAAAAACAAAACAAGCGUAAUGUGUUGAACAAUGAUGAAAUGAAGAGGUUAGGAAGGGUCUGGCACUUGUCUCAAAGGUUUAGCUAUGAUGUUAUUGUUAAAAACUUCUGACAUCUGUGACAUUACCUAAUUAUGAAAUUUUCUUUUAUACAAUGAACUGUUCCCAAUUUGCUGUGAAGACUGGAUGUGAAUUUGUAGAUAUUUGUAUCAAAAUGUAGAAAAGCUGCCAAUGAACUUCAGUGGAAAUCUGUGUGUAUGACUGCAGUGCAAUGUUGUUAAAUCACAUUUUACAUUAAAGAUUAUUCUCAACUUCAAA